CCCUUAGAUGUUCUGGGCCGCACGCGCGCUACACUGACGAAUGCAACGAGCUUAUAACCUUGGCCGAAAGGUCUGGGUAAUCUCCAAAUUUCGUCGUGAUGGGGAUAGAUUAUUGCAAUUAUUAAUCUUCAACGAGGAAUGCCUAGUAAGCGCAAGUCAUCAGCUUGCGUUGAUUACGUCCCUGCCCUUUGUACACACCGCCCGUCGCUCCUACCGAUUGAAUGGUCCGGUGAGGCGUUCGGACCGUGGCCUUUGGACGGUUCGCCGUCUGUUGGCUGCGGGAAGUUCGUUAAACCUUNUNAUUUAGNGGAAGGAGAANUCGUANCA
rnacentral:rRNA from 1 species